GCUUAAGUAAUAUAAAUAAUGUAAAUAAAGCAAGUAAUAAGGUAAAAAACAAAGUAUCUAAUCAAGUAUAUAAUAAAUGUAUUGCAAAAAAAAAAAACAUAAUGAAAUGAUUUUACAGAAUAAAAAAGAAACAACUUUACUUAAUACAAAUGAAAAAAAAUUGAAAAUUGAAAAAGCGAAAGUUGGUACUCCCAUUAAAAAAAAAAACAAACCAAGUCAUUCAAAGUAACAUUAAUAAUAACAUUAAUAAUAACAGUAGUAAUAACAGUAGUAAUAACAGUAGUAAUACAUUACCUAAUAAAUUUAUAACAACAAUAAAUAAACAAACUGAUGUAAAAUGUUAUACAAAAAUUAAAGAAAAUAAAGUAAAAGCAAAAAGAGCUAGUUAUGAUUAUAGUGGUCACGAGGUUAAUACUAGUGGUCAUUUAUCUGAUCUUCAAGUUACCGUUAAUAGUGGUAUUUCUAUAAAUGCCAAUGUCAGUGUCAAAUCAGUAAACAAAACUCCAACAAAUCAGCAAAACAAAACAGCGUUUAACAAAUCAAGUGUUAAUACACCAAAAAAUGCAAUAGUUAAAAAAAACACUACGUUAAAAGAAGCAAACAAAAGAACAAGUGUAAAACUAUGUACAUAUAACAAUAAUUUAAAAAAAGAAAAAAAUCAAAAAAAUCAAAAAAAUCAAAAUAAUGAAAAUAAUGAAAAUAAUGAAAAUAAUGAAAAUAAUGAAAAAACAAAACCUAAUAUAAAAGACGUAAUAAGUAACAACCUAAACAAACAACAAAGAGUAAUAACAAACAAAAUUCUAAACACAUCUAUUAACUUCGAUGCUUCACAUGGAGUAGUACAAUCUAUAAGUAACAUUACUGAUGCUGGUAGUCACAUACUUGACAUGUAUUCACAUAAUGUCACUACUGAUGUUACUACUGGUGUUACUACUGGUGUUACUACUGGUGUUACUACUGGUGUCACUACUGGUGUCACUACUGGUGUCACUACUGGUGUGAAUAAUCAAGAGAAUUUGCAAGAUAUAAUCAAUAACCAAGUAAAAAUAUUUGAGCAACAAUUUUUAUAAAAAAGGGAAACAUAAAAAAAAAAAAAAAAAAAAAAAAAAGGGCUCUACAUGUCCAUACAGCAUGUAUGCAUAUAUAGACCGGUUAUAUAAAACGGUUAUAUAAAUAUUAUGUUUUUUUUCCCACUCUUUUUGUCUGUCACUGUUUAUAAAAAAAAAAAAAUAAUAAUUAAAAAUAUAUACAUUUAUUCUUUUUAAAUUACACAACAUUUAUUUAUAAAACAUUCUUUUUUUGUUUUGUUUUUGUUUUUUCUAUUUUUUCUAUUUUUUCUA
rnacentral:lncRNA from 1 species